rnacentral:lncRNA from 1 species
AUUUGAAUAUAUAUAGUAGUUCUUUCGUGUAUUUUCUGUAAAAAAGUUAUAUUUUUGUUAAUAAAAUUUUGACUUUAUAUAAAAGUUAACCAAAUCCUUCGGAUAAGAGGUUUUUCCGGAUAAUGACUAUAGUUGACAUUGUGUGAAAAUACAUUGUAUGUCAAUGUUUAACCUCAGAGCAAUUAAUAUGCAUGCAAGUGGUCGGGGGAAAAGUACUAUUGAAGUUUCGCAGAGAUUUGGUGUGUGACAAGGUGAUGCUAAAACCAACUUCUCUUGAUAUUCUGCUUUCCGUGGGCGAAUCAUCAGUGAUGUUAUGAGACUUGCACCAGAAGGCAAACUUGGUGUGCAUCUUUAAAUUAGAUUGAUUGAUUGAUUGUUGGUUGCUUAACGUCCAGUGGCAAAUAUUUCAUGCAUGUUCAGGAUGAGAACAAGUUAACAAUAAAAACAAUAGGUAGGUUUUGUCAUAAUAGAGGCCAUUCGGGAUGAUGAUCGGGAAAAUUUAGACUGCCAAUGGAAAAUGAUGGUAUAUUGGAUUGGGACAGAAAUUGUCCAUUGCAACAUGCCACCUACGGACCCUCAAAGAGUUGAUGCAAGGGUUUUUAACGUGCAAAGAACGUGACACUCCCUUUACACGAGGCAUCGGAUUUAACGUCCCCAUUCUGACCGGACGUGACUGCGAACUUGAUACAUCCCGCACAGCCAAACGGACGCCCCACUUCGUUUUACUGCCGGUCGGGGGAAGACCAAGUGACCAUAUUUCGUUUCCCCAGUCACCCUUGGGGAACUUUAAAUUAGAAACAACAGAAAUCCAUAUAUGUGAUCAAACUAAUCGACAUGUAUCCUCACAACCUGACACUUUUAUACGAUCUCGCGC